rnacentral:rRNA from 1 species
CCUUAGUAACUGCGAGUGAAGCGGCAAGAGCUCAAAUUUGAAAUCUGGCACCUUCGGUGUCCGAGUUGUAAUUUGUAGAAGCAUCUUUUGGAUUGGUCCUUGCAUAUGUUCCUUGGAACAGGACAUCAUAGAGGGUGAGAAUCCCGUUCAUGGUGGGGAAUCCAAUUCUUUGUAAAGUGCUUUCGAAGAGUCGAGUUGUUUGGGAAUGCAGCUCUAAGUGGGUGGUAAAUUCCAUCUAAAGCUAAAUAUUGGCGAGAGACCGAUAGCGAACAAGUACAGUGAUGGAAAGAUGAAAAGAACUCCGAAAGGAGAGUGAAAAAGGACGUGAAAUUGUUGAAAGGGAAGUGCUUGAGAUCAGUCUUAAGGUUUAGUGAUCAGUCUUCCUUUUGGUUGGUGCACUCACUAUUUCUUAGGCCAACAUCAGUUUUCGCGGCAGGAUAAUGACAUUGGAAUGUGGCUCUUUCGGGAGUGUUAUAGCCUUUGUUGAUACUGCCUGCUUAGACUGAGGACCGCGCUUUUGCUAGGAUGUUGGCAUAAUGAUCUUA